rnacentral:lncRNA from 1 species
CGUGACAGCGCCUAGCUACAGAGCCUACGUUAUCUCGUGAGCAGGUACAGACAACUCCCGCGUACGACCGAUGCCAUGCAUGAUAAUUCUGACGCCUUUGCUUCGUGUCGUCCAUGGAAUAAAUUCAAGACCUAUCUAUAUUGCAAACAGUGACCGGUGAAGGCUUGUUUGGGUCUAUACGUACAGAUUGAGUAUAUAUACGCA